rnacentral:rRNA from 1 species
AAUAGAUACCCUGGUAGUCCACGCCGUAAACGAUGAGUGCUAAGUGUUAGAGGGUUUCCGCCCUUUAGUGCUGAAGUUAACGCAUUAAGCACUCCGCCUGGGGAGUACGGCCGCAAGGCUGAAACUCAAAGGAAUUAACGGGGGGCCCGCACAAGCGGUGGAGCAUGUGGUUUAAUUCGAAGCAACGCGAAGAACCUUACCAGGUCUUGACAUCCUCUGACAACCCUAGAGAUAGGGCUUCUCCUUCGGGAGCAGAGUGACAGGUGGUGCAUGGUUGUCGUCAGCUCGUGUCGUGAGAUGUUGGGUUAAGUCCCGCAACGAGCGCAACCCUUGAUCUUAGUUGCCAUCAUUAAGUUGGGCACUCUAAGGUGACUGCCGGUGACAAACCGGAGGAAGGUGGGGAUGACGUCAAAUCAUCAUGCCCCUUAUGACCUGGGCUACACACGUGCUACAAUGGACGGUACAAAGAGCUGCAAGACCGCGAGGUGGAGCUAAUCUCAUAAAACCGUUCUCAGUUCGGAUUGUAGGCUGCUAACCG